rnacentral:rRNA from 1 species
UGGCGAACGGGUGAGUAACACGUGGGUGAUCUGCCCUGCACUUCGGGAUAAGCUUGGGAAGCUGGGUCUAAUACCGGAUAGGAGCCAUCUUUAGUGUGGUGGUUGGAAAGUUUUUUCGGUGUAGGAUGAGCUCGCGGCCUAUCAGCUUGUUGGUGGGGUAAUGGCCUACCAUGGCGGCGACGGGUAGCCGGCCUGAGAGGGUGUACGGCCACAUUGGGACUGAGAUACGGCCCAG